rnacentral:sRNA from 1 species
CCUAGUAAGCGUGAGUCAUCAGCUCGCGUUGAUUACGUCCCUGCCCUUUGUACACACCGCCCGUCGCUACUACCGAUUGAAUGGCUUAGUGAGACCCUCGGAUUGCAGAUUGUGGCGUUGGAAACAACAUACGGUUCGCGAGAAGUUGGUCAAACUUGGUCAUUUAGAGGAAGUAAAAGUCGUAACAAGGUUUCCGUAGGUGAACCUGCGGAAGGAUCAUUAAAAGAGGGUCUUUUGACCCAUUUUUAAAACCUACCACCGCCUAUCUUUGGGAUGGAGGGAUGGUUUUUUAAAGUCCAAAAUUACAAAAUAUAUAUAUCGUCUAACGACGAAACAAAAAAAUAUAUAAAAACUUUCAACAAUGGAUCUCUUGGUUCUCGCAUCGAUGAAGAACGCAGCGAAUUGCGAUAAGUAGUAUGAAUUGCAAAUUCUGUGAAUCAUCGAAUCUUUGAACGCAUAUUGCGCUCUCUGGUACUCCGGAGAGCAUGCCUGUUUGAGGGUAAUUAAUUAAAUCUUUGACCUUUGUUGGCCAAGGGAUAUGGGCUCUCCAUGUUUCAUGUGGUGGCCUAAAAUGUAUGGUUAGUCUUAUCAAGUUGAGAUGUGUAAUAAUAUUUAUUUCGCAAACUAUUUGAUGAGCUACCAAGUUUUGAUGCCUCUAACUCUGUUAAAUGUGGUCAAAACAAAUAUUUUUUGACAUUACCUCAAAUCAGGUAGGAAUACCCGCUGAACUUAAGCAUAUCAAUAAGCGGAGGAAAAGAAACUAACCAGGAUUCCCCUAGUAACGGCGAGUGAAGCGGGAAUAGCUCAAAUUUUAAAUCUGGCUGGCGUGGUCAGUCCGAGUUGUAAUUUGAAGAAGCGUUUAUCACGUUUUCGUUCGGGUUUAAGUUCCUUGGAAUAGGACAUCAGAGAGGGUGAGAAUCCCGUCUGUGAUCCGAUCGGUUGCGGUACGAUAUCGUUUCUAAGAGUCGAGUUGUUUGGGAUUGCAGCUCAAAAUGGGUGGUAAAUUCCAUCUAAGGCUAAAUAUUGGCGAGAGACCGAUAGCGAACAAGUACCGUGAGGGAAAGAUGAAAAGAACUUUGAAAAGAGAGUUAAACAGUACGUGAAAUUGUUGAUAGGGAAACGAUUGAAGUCAGUCAUGCCGGUGAGAAAUCAGCUUACAGGUCACUGUGAGUGCACUUUUUCGCAAGGCAGGUUAACAUCGGUUUCUGUUGCGUCACAAUGAUUGUAGGAAGGUGGCUCCCUCGGGAGUGUUAUAGCCUACUUUAGAUGGCGUGACGGGGACUGAGGAUUGCAGCGGAUGCCUCUGGCUACGGAUCUUGUCUCUGUCGAUCUUCAAUUAGUCUUCAGCUUGCUGAGGUCUGGUUGAUAGGUUUACAAUAGGUGGGAAUCCGUUAAAUUCGCUAAGGAUGUUGACGUAAUGGCUUUAAACGACCCGUCUUGAAACACGGACCAAGGAGUCUAACAUA